AAAGCCGUAAGCCGCAAGGCAUCUGUGAAGGUGCUGCAUGGUUGUCGUCAGCUCGUGCCGUGAGGUGUCGGCUUAAGUGCCAUAACGAGCGCAACCCUUGUUGUCAGUUACUAACAGGUUCCGCUGAGGACUCUGACAAGACUGCCAUCGUAAGAUGUGAGGAAGGUGGGGAUGACGUCAAAUCAGCACGGCCCUUACGUCCGGGGCUACACACGUGUUACAAUGGGGGGUACAGAGGGCCGCUACCACGCGAGUGGAUGCCAAUCCCAAAAACCUCUCUCAGUUCGGACUGGAGUCUGCAACCCGACUCCACGAAGCUGGAUUCGCUAGUAAUCGCGCAUCAGCCACGGCGCGGUGAAUACGUUCCCGGGCCUUGUACACACCGCCCGUCAAGCCAUGGGAGCCGGGGGUACCUGAAGUGCGUAACCGCGAGGAGCGCCCUAGGGUAAAACUGGUGACUGGGGCUAAGUCGUAACAAGGUAGCCGUACCGGAAGGUGCGGCUGGAUCACCUC
rnacentral:rRNA from 1 species